GGGUUAAGUCCCGCAACGAGCGCAACCCCUGCAUCCAGUUGCCAUCGGGCGAGCCGGGCACUCUGGAGGGACUGCCGGCGACAAGCCGGAGGAAGGUGGGGAGUGACGUCAAGUCAUCAUGGCCCCUAUGUCCAGGGCGACACACGUGCUACAAUGGCCGGCACAGCGGGAAGCGGAGGGGCGACCUGAGCGGAUCCCUUGAAAGCCGGUCCCAGUUCGGAUUGCAGUCUGCAACUCGACUGCAUGAAGUUGGAAUCGCUAGUAAUCGCGGAUCAGCCAAGCCGCGGUGAAUACGUUCCCGGGCCUU
rnacentral:rRNA from 1 species